AGGGGCAUGAUAAGAAGAACAUACACCAAAAUGGCCAACAGUUGGGACAGAUAACAAGAAGAGCAAAGGAUGAGGGGAAAAAAGGAAUGUAUGAAGACAGGAAGAGUGAGACGCCUUCGAAAUCAGCAUCUCCCAAUUUAGGAACAUUGUAUCCCAGUGAUUCUGAACCUCUCCUGGAUGACCUACUGUUUGAGCCACUUCAUCUCAAUCACAGAGAGGAAGAGUUCUCUCGACAUACCUCAGGGUUUAUCUCACCUUCUACAUCUCCUCCUGUCAGUAAUAACGAUUGUUCUCCAUGCCAGUCAACCCAUGAAGCCAAUACUAAAGCCUUAGAGGUAGACAACCAGUCGGAAUCUUCUGAGCCUGACCAUGUAGACACUAGCGAUGAUGACAGUGUAGAAGCCCAUGAUGUUGACAGGUCCAAACUUACUCUUCCUGAUCAGCAUAGGAGUUGUGAAGAAGAAACCAUCAGAAGUAAAGAGGGUGUUUUAGGGUUGCACAGUGCCCCAGACCUCCUCCCGGCUCACUGCACCUAUAGUGAGGAGCUCCUAAGGCUGGACCCACCAACAAGCCCACCUGUUCUGAGCUGGCAGGGCUCUCCAGUGUCGGACUUGGGUGAUGAUGAUGAGGAAGGGAAAGAGGGAGAUAUGAUUAGAGUACUGAGGAGGCCAGUGCUACAACCUAGUCCAACACACUCAUCUCCACUAAGAGACCCAGUGGAGAUCAACACUGGAGUUGACUAUUGCCACAGUGACCUGGCUAAAUUGUAUGGCCUUCCUGAGUCCUCUAAAGCAAUGGACACUGAGGAAGAAGAUGAAGAUAAGAGAGAAGGAGAGCAGAAAUGUAGUAGUCCUAAUGCAUCAAGUAGCUCUGAGCCCAACAAACCACACUUGCAUCAAAUGGACACAUUCGGAUCAGCAACCUCAGCAAUGGGCAGCCAUAGAUACACUUAUAGGGGUGGGCCAUUUGGACGGCCACCCCCUGGUGCAUUAGUUGGGGUGAAAU
ensembl:lncRNA